rnacentral:tRNA from 1 species
GCCCGGUUAGCUCAGUUGGUAGAGCACCUCCAUGGUAAGGAGGGGGUCUGCGGUUCAAGUCCGCAACCGGGCUCCA